rnacentral:ncRNA from 1 species
CCUGCGGCUUAAUUUGACUCAACACGGGGAAACUCACCCGGUUCGGACACCGGUAGGAUUGAAAGAGCGAUAGCUCUCUCUCGAUUCGGUGGGUGGUGAAGCAUGGCCGUCCUUAGUUGGUGGAGCGAUCCGUUUUGUUGAUCCCGAUAACUAACUAGUGCGUCGAUCAGUGCUUUUUCGGUAACGCGGCGGCGCUGAAGCCGUCGUCGGUAGCUCCACGCGCG